rnacentral:lncRNA from 1 species
GUGGGCGGUUAUUUACACAUGUCAACAUUGUCUUUACCCAACCUCCCCUUUAAUCGAAUGAGAAGUGUAUUCAACAGCGUUUCUUCUCCACCGUCCGCUUCCCGCUUCACAUGAAAACCCUAGCCUUUUCCUUAAUCUCUCCACCUCCGGCAGUGGCACACAAAUUCCGUUUAACUCCAGUAUGAACACCAGACAAACACAACCUUGAGGAGUUACGGUUUGGUACGGGAUUACGGCGGCUGGAACUUUGUGGAUUCCGGCGCAUUCCCGUUAACUCCGGCGAGAACCCACUGACCUGAACCAGAGAAUCGCUAAUUCCCCAUGAACAUCAGGAUUCAAGAACCAUGCACCCCUUCUCCUUCUCCUCCAAGAUUCCAUCACCAAACCCCUCUGCAAGUGUUCUUUUUUUCUGAAAUUUCGAACCCUUUUGUUUUUCCCAAACGGGUCAUCUUUAAUUUGAUGGGGUUUAGGGUUUUUGUAUCUGGGUUUUGAUUAGAUUUUGGUUAUUGAUCUGGGUUUGUGUUGGGUUUGUUUCUUUGGUGUUUCUUUUUUUAUUUAUUUAUUUAUUUUUUUGCAUCUUGCUAUUACAAUAUUAUAGACUUAAAUUUAUGAAGUUAAAAGGCUGAAAGGAAUUGUAGAUUAUUAGUCAUCGAGUUCGGGUUUAGGUAUAUGCAUUUAGCAUCUCUAAUCAGGUGCUGGCGAAGAGAAUAACAAGGCACGACCAUUUCUAAGAAGAGCAAUCCCCAAUGAGCAACCUUCAAAGAAUAUGAAAUCGGCGUUUUAGAUGAACGGGGUUACCGUUUAACCAUUUUUCAAAUUUAUAUGCUCAUAUGAAUAGUGGUUUGGAUAUCAGUGUUGGAAGAUCUCUAAUUUUUUAGAUUUUUUAUAUGUUUUUUAAUAUUUUGAUUUUCAUUUGUACUAGAAAAGAUCAACUUUGUUUAGUUAAACAAGUAGCUAAUUUGAAUUCAGGCUUUCAUGAGUUUCUAUUUCUAUCUUUAAAUUUUCAAUUGCACUUUUUAAAACUGUGAGAACCCGUCUCAGAAAAACUCACAGACCCGUCAAUUCCUAGCUAACCAAUGUGUAAAGGUAGAAAACAGUUCGAACACCAGAACUCUAAUUAUACCAAAAGACUAAAAAACAUGAAUUUGAUUGUUCUUGGAUUCUGAUUGGUGUAAAUAUGGACAGACUCGACGUGUUGGAUACUAGAUAAAUGUUUAAGAUGGGUCACAAUGGAUUAACGGGUGACCCGUCAGCAUUUUUUACCUUUUAUUUGUAAUUCUAAUCAUAAGUAAUAUAUCAGAUAUGACGACGAAAACAACUAAUUUUAGUUUUACUUGAUUUGACCUGUUAUUUAUUUGUUAAUAAUCUUUGAUAAAGGUUUCUUAAAUGGUCUAAAAAUAUAUACAGGGAGCAAAACAUCUAGCUAGACCACCAACAUUAUCCGAUGUUCUUCAUAGUUCUUUACAACAAGCAAAAACACAUCAAAAUUCAUAAAGCGAAGAAGGUCAGAGUUUAGAUUCCAAUGAAAGAGGAAUAAAAAGAACUCUGGUUCCUGAAGAACGUUCUGAUGAAAAUCCGAAUGACCCAAAGGCGUUUGUAAAGCUCAACAGAACCAUAAAUCUUUAAAUGAUUCAAGAUUGUGGUAUCAAUGGCAAAAAGAGCAGGAAUUUUAGCUAAAGAAAUAAAGUCGAUGAAAUCAGAUCUUUGUUUUAUGGAAGAAAGACGCAACAUUCUUGAGGAAGAAAACCGGCUGCUUAGAGACAGGUUUAAGGAGUUGCACCUUGGAGUAGGAUGAUCUGAUUCAGGAGGUUGUAAGCAUUAACAAUAAGAUCUGGACGACUUUCAACCCAUUUUACUCAUUUUGACUUGACCCAUUUGAGAUAAUACAACGCAAUUCAGCCAAUCUUGGACGGCCACUGGAAAAUGUUUUUCUGUGCAGAUGAGGCAUCAGAUAUCCUCUUACCGUAAAACUCUCAAAAUCAUGCUCCCAAAGAUAACUGCAGGUCAAGGCAUUAGCGACCCAAAGAAGACUAGGUACUAGGUGCCCGGACGCGUGAAGAAAAAAACAUUUGUGAUCUAUGUAAAUGUUAAAACGCUCAGCUUUUUUUUUUAUCAAUUUCAUUAGUAUAAGUAAAAUGUUCAACCGAGAACGAUUCGGUUUAGUGCGCCGCAACGCGUGCGUGGGUAUAGACCUAGUUAUAUAUAAGAUUUAAAUGUUGUCACCCGUACAGUUAAAUUCAAAAUCUACGAUGUU